UCCAGACUCCUACGGGAGGCAGCAGUGAGGAAUAUUGGUCAAUGGGCGGGAGCCUGAACCAGCCAAGUCGCGUGAGGGAAGACGGUCCUACGGAUUGUAAACCUCUUUUGCCGGGGAGCAACGGGGUCCUUGCGAGGGCCCAAUGAGAGUACCCGGAGAAAAAGCAUCGGCUAACUCCGUGCCAGCAGCCGCGGUAAUACGGAGGAUGCGAGCGUUAUCCGGAUUUAUUGGGUUUAAAGGGUGCGUAGGCGGGAUGCCAAGUCAGCGGUAAAAAUGCGGUGCUCAACGCCGUCGAGCCGUUGAAACUGGCGCGCUUGAGUUCAGGCGAGGUAGGCGGAAUUCGUGGUGUAGCGGUGAAAUGCAUAGAUAUCACGAAGAACUCCGAUUGCGAAGGCAGCUUACCAGUCUGCGACUGACGCUCAGGCACGAAAGUGUGGGUAUCGAACAGGAUUAGAUACCCCUGUA
rnacentral:rRNA from 1 species